rnacentral:lncRNA from 1 species
AUGCAAGGGGUGGUGCCCGUCGGUGCCAUCCAUCCCAAUUUUGGGGGUUCAGGGGAGGGAAGCUGUGCUUGGUUUCAUUCCCAUCACGGCCUGUGUGCAUCGUUUGCCUUUGGGGGGGGAGCCAAGGAGGAAUGCUCGGCGUUGCAGCCCUGCUUGCAAACCUCAGCCCUCGGUGCAGGGGCAAGUGAGGGGUGGGGAGGGCUGGGAUUGCCACGGGAGGGCUCCCGUGCUCUGCAGUGUGCAGCUGUGCGAUGCUCUGCAGGGCUGUGUGCAAUGCACGGGGCUGCUGCGGGGUCGUGCCCUGCUGUGCAUGGUUCUGUGUUGCUGUGUGUGGUUGUACGUUGCCGUGCUUUGCUUUGCACUGCUCUGUGGGGUUGUGCGUGCUUGUUGCAUUGCUGUGCGCCACUGUGCCUUGCUGUGCAUCGCAGUGCAGGGUUGGGCGUUGCUCUGCACUGCUCUCUGGGGUUGUGCAUUGCUGUGCACCACUGUGCAUUGCAGGGCAUGGUUGUGCAUUGCUCGGCACUGCUCUAUAGGGUUGUGCAUUGCUGUGCAUUGCAAUGCAAGCUUGUACAUUGCUGUGCAGGGUUGUGCGUUCUGCACUGCUCUAUGGGGUUGUGCAUUGCUGUGUAGGGUUGUGCAUCGCUAUGUGGAGUUGUACAUGGCUGUGCAUCACGGUGCAUGGUUGUGCAUUGCUGUGCAGGGUUGUAUAUUGCUCUGCACUGCUCUCUGGGGUUGUGCAUUGCUGUGCACCACUGUGCAUUGCAGGGCAUGGUUGUGCAUUGCUCGGCACUGCUCUGUAGGGUUGUGCAUUGCUGUGUAGGGUUGUGCAUCGCUAUGUGGAGUUGUACAUGGCUGUGCAUCCCUGUGCAUGGUUGUGCAUUGCUGUGCAGCGUUGUGUAUUGCUCUGCACUGCUCUAUGGGGUUGUGCAUUGCUGUGUGUGGUUGUGCACCGUUGUACAGGGUUGUGCAUGGCUGUGCAGGGUUUUGCACUGCUCUGCACCACUGUGCAUGGUUGUACAUUGAUGUGCAUGGUUGUGCACCGCUGUGCGAUGCUCUUUGAGCCUCUCCCAGCUGCUUUGGGGCUGCAGAGCCUUGUGGUGAUUUGGGGUCCCCUCUGCCUCCUGUCACCCCCUCCCCCCCAUGGGCGCUGCCCCCACCUUGGGGUCUGGGGGUGUCAGUGGGCCCUGGAUGCGUCCCCUUACCAUGGGGUGCCAUAGGGCUGCUUCUUUCUGGCCAUGGUUUUAGCAUCUCCCAGUGACCCCCAGCUCAGGCUGCCCCCCCCCC